AUUGAACGCUGGCGGCAUGCCUAACACAUGCAAGUCGAACGAGUGGCGGACGGGUGAGUAAUAUAUGGGAAACUGCCCAGUGGAGGGGGAUAACUACUGGAAACGGUAGCUAAUACCGCAUACAAUCGGAUGUGCCCAUAUGGGAUUAGCUAGUAGGUGGGGUAACGGCUCACCAAGGCGACGAUCCCUAGCUGGUCUGAGAGGAUGACCAGCCAACCUGGAACUGAGAAACGGUCCAGACUCCUACGGGAGGCAGCAGUGGGGAAUGUUGGACAAUGGGCGCAACCCUGAAGCAGCCAUGCCGCGUGUAUGAAGAAGGCCUUCGGGUUGUAAAGUACUUUUGGCAGGGAAGCGUUACUCGCAGAAGAAGCACCGGCUAACUCCGUGCCAGCCGCCGCGGUAAUAC
rnacentral:rRNA from 1 species